rnacentral:rRNA from 1 species
CAGUCGCCACGGUAAUGCGUAGGUGGCAAGCGUUGUCCGGAAUUAUUGGGCGUAAAGGGCUCGCAGGUGGUUUCUUAAGUCUGAUGUGAAAGCCCCCGGCUCAACCGGGGAGGGUCAUUGGAAACUGGGAAACUUGAGUGCAGAAGAGGAGAGUGGAAUUCCACGUGUAGCGGUGAAAUGCGUAGAGAUGUGGAGGAACACCAGUGGCGAAGGCGACUCUCUGGUCUGUAACUGACGCUGAGGAGCGAAAGCGUGGGGAGCGGACAGGAUUAGAUACCCCCGUAGUCCCUGUCUCUUAUAC